UGAGGAAUAUUGGUCAAUGGGCGAAAGCCUGAACCAGCCAUCCCGCGUGCAGGAAGACGGCCCUAUGGGUUGUAAACUGCUUUUCCAGGGGGCGAACAGUAUCGACGUGUCGGUAUUUGACGGUACCCUGGGAAUAAGCAUCGGCUAACUCCGUGCCAGCAGCCGCGGUAAUACGGAGGAUGCGAGCGUUAUCCGGAUUUAUUGGGGUUAAAGGGUGCGUAGGCGGAUAAAUAAGUCAGUGGUGAAACCCUGCAGCUUAACUGUAGACUUGCCGUUGAUACUGUUUGUCUUGAGUAUGGUCAAGGUAGGCGGAAUGGGUAAUGUAGCGGUGAAAUGCUUAGAUAUUACACAGAACACCGAUUGCGAAGGCAGCUUGCUGGACCAAUACUGACGCUGAUGCGCGAAAGCGUGGGGAUCGAACA
rnacentral:rRNA from 1 species